rnacentral:rRNA from 1 species
UACGAGGGGUCCAAGCGUUGCUCGGAAUCAUUGGGCGUAAAGCGGGUGUAGGUGGCUUUGUAAGUCAGGAGUGAAAGCCCUGGGCUCAACCCAGGAAGUGCUUUUGAUACCGCGAAGCUUGAAUGUGGGAGAGGAUCGUGGAAUUCCAGGUGUAGUGGUGAAAUACGUAGAUAUCUGGAGGAACACCGGUGGCGAAGGCGGCGAUCUGGCCCAACAUUGACACUCAGACCCGAAAGUGCGGGGAUCAAACAGG